AAACGGGCAGCGCUGUAGAAUCGGUGGGCGGGGCUAAACGGGCAGGCAGCAUGGCUGUGUAAUUGCUUAUUGACCUCUUUUAAGGACUUUGCAAAAGGGAAAUUUGUCUUCUGUCGAGGCCUUAGAGCUCAGUGAGGGUGUUUGUAAGACUAAAUGGUAUCAUGUGCUUCGUUUGUAAUAAUUUACAGGUUUAUAUUUAGACUCCCUCUCAGAUUUGACCUCAUUUAGACCACUGUUCGUAAUCUAGUUCUGCUCAUCUUUCUCAGUGUGAACAGAUGAGCCAGUGCUGGACAUGAGCAUCAAGUCAACUUCAUCUCAAAGAGGCUUAACAGAAAAUCAGAAUGUUAAUGUUUAUAAUACCUUAAUAUAUUCGUGCUUUAUAGGCGCAUUUAGCGGAUUAGAGCUGUGUGAUCAUAUAUUUCACAUUUUGCAACAAUGUAAACAAUCACGCAGUUGGGAUUAGCUGUAUAUUGUGGAGUGAUGCUUCACAGAAAUGACGGUUUGCUACAUACCUCAGACGACUUAACAUAAAAUUGCUUCUAUUAUCUUUUUUUUCAUUAAAUAAUAGUUUCCUGAACAAAUUGCACCUAAGACAGUUUUUACAUUAACUUCUAAAUUUAAUUAUAAAACCGUGUUUCUACUCCAGUUUCUGGUUGAAAUGUUUACUUCGAAUACAAGUGCUGUUGUGCACAGAGUGUCUGAGAGUGUGUGUGUGAGUGUGUGUGUGUAAAAGAGAGAGUGAGUGUGUGUGUGUUUGUUAGAGUGAGUGUGUGUGUGUGUGUGUGAGUGUCUGUGAGUGCAUGUGUCUGAGAGUGUGUGUGAGUGCAUGUCUUUGUGAGUGAGUGUGUGCGUGUGGUUGUGUGUGUGUGUAUCCGCUCUGUUAGGAGCCUCUACUGAUCUACAGUCCUCUUGACUGAUCUCAGGUCAGCCGUUCCUGAACCCAGAUGGCAGUGCUGUCGUCUACAGUCCCAGCAUGACCUCACAGGCCUCCAGAUGUCAAUCAUCCGUAGCUCCGCCUCCAGCCGCUCAGCCCACCAAUCACGUCAUGGCACAGCCUCUCUGGUCUGUCCAGCACGCGCCGCUGUCUUACCCACCGGUCCAGCCGUUCACUGUGCAGGACAAUCUGAGCGCUCAGUUCGGUCACAUGAUGCUGGUCCAGCAGGCCUCGGGGGACGGCCGUGACGCUCAUGCAGUCGUUUAUCCGCCGCUGCAUCAGACCGGAUACGUGAUGUCCUCGCCGGGACAGACUGUGGCCAGCCCCUCUUUUCCUGCGGUCAGCCAGCAGCAGCAGCAGCAGCAGCAGGUGUGAGACGCAUCACAUUCUUCACACACAUGGGGUCUGUCCCGAAACAUUUGCACUCCAACACUUGUCUGUUUACGUGACGUACUUGAUCUAAGUGUUCACGAGGGCAUGAAGAGCGCGAGUGUGUGUAGAACAUCUGAUUAUAACUGAUUAGACACAAUACAGACCGAUUCAAAGCAGCUUCACAGUAAUUAACAGAACAAUAACAGAGUUAAUGUUGCAAAUUUCAUGAAUUAUGAAACAAACUCGAUAUUAGCGGUAAAGCUGCUCUGAAUUCAAAUCUAAUUGUGGUGCUUCUAAUUAGCUGUUACACAGCAGUUGCAUACAUUU
ensembl:lncRNA